AACAAAUUAAAUUAGUAAUCUAAGUUCAAAAGCACAAUGUUAAACAAGUACCCAAAUGAUUAGUUAGGUUUUUACGUAGUAUCAAGUUCGAGUCGUGAUAAGUUUCAACAAAUACAACAUAAAAAAUAUUGAUAAUAGAGCACCUAUCAACAAUCCCCAAAUCUUCUUAAGUAAGGUCAAUGUCUUCAUCACUUUCUUUCUUCAUUUUGGACACCUACAAAAAGAGAAUAAAUAACUAUCAAACAACUCAAAAUACUCAAACGAUAGAUUCACGCUUUAUAGCAUGAGACAGAGGUUAUUGCAUCAAAGACCAUAUAAAUAAUGAAGGGGUGAUUGUACCAUAAAUCAAGACAAAUGAGACCUAAAGUAAUUACAUAUAUUUAAUGCAACCUCUCAUCAAUCAUCAAGUUGUUAGUGUUUGUUUGGUUUGUUACCUAUUCUAAUUUGUUCCUUCCAUCAACAACCAACUAAACUCUCUAUCUACACACACACACACACACACACACACACACAUAUAUAUUCAGAUUUACCUUUCUAGUUUGGUCCCACUAUCACACCCAACUCUCAAACUUGUAUCAUGGCACAAACAAGAACCAAACAACACCACACUAUUUUCUUUUGCAUAUUUCCAACGAGUUUCCUUUACAUGGUUAACGUGAAAGACAAAAUAAGAUCUAAAUAGGGGAAUUUGUCUCUCUUUCAUCUGGUUAUAAUAAUCUCUGCAUUUUCUAUCACAUCACUGAGAGGUUCAUUCUUGUCAUGGUCAAUCCCACUAUGAUCCUUAUGAUCUUUAUACAUGCUAGUGAUACAACAAGAACAUAACAUUGACAUUGAUGAUGUAUUAGCAGUUGCAGAAGAGAGAAGCCACUACUCAUUAUUGUAAUGUAAUUCUAAAAAGAGAAAAAGACACACCAAAAUUUACUCCCUCUAUUUCAAAAAGAAUAACCUACUUUCAUUUUUAAUUCUAACCUACUUUCAUUUUUAAUUCAUUUAAAAAAGAAUAACCCCUUUCCUUUUUGGAAAUACUUUACUUUCAACAUUCCACAUGACAUAUUUAAGACCAUAAAAUUAAAGGAUAUUUUGGUACAUUUGACGUAACUUUAUUUUAGGACCACAAGAUUCAAAAGUCUUUUUUAUUAUCUUAAACUCUCUGCCAAGUCAAACUAGGUCAUUCUUUUUGAAAACUUGGGGUACCAAGAGAAAAAUAUAUUGUACAUCAAACUUUAUCAAGAAAAUAAAUGUAGUACACAUCAAAAUCAUCUAAUAGGGUGAAACAAGAGCACAAGACUGAUAUUAUUACUACGCCAAAAGGUAAGAAGAAUAGUAUUGGGCUAGGACGUAGGACAAUCAUGCAUUACUUCUAUAAAAAAUUCCUUUUUGAUUCAAAGCAGCAACACUGGAGAUUGAAUAAAAUAGGGGAACCUCAAAGUUCUAAUCUCACAAGGGAGGUAUAAAGAGAGUAUUAUAUACAUAAAUCUUAGAUAGAGAGGUUUUUUUCGCUAGACCCUUAGCUCAGGCACAAAUAAGAACCCAAAAAUUGCUUAAUUUACUCUAAGCAUCAAACAAGAAUAAAUUCACUUAAUUAAUUACCAUACAUACAUCAACAUGGCAAUGGUUUGCUAUUGGUUCAGUAACAUCAAAUUUCACACAAAUCCAUCACACACCUUAGCUCAGCCAUAUCAAUAUGGCAGUGGUUCACUAUUGGUUCAGCAAUAUAGCAGUGCUUCACUAUUGGUUCAGCAAAUUAUACUGCCAUGUUGCUGAAGCAACUUGUAAAUUAUGCUCAAUUUCAUGGUAGACCAUAACAGCUUCAAUAGCCUAAACCACUGCCAUGUUGUUGAAGCUGUUCUUAUAGGUACAUAAAACUAACAAGUACCGAUUUCAACUAAAUCAGUUAGAGACACUCCAACUAAACUCUAGAACACAAAAGAUACAUUCAAUUCAUUAAGUCCACUAAACACAUUGCACAUCAACUAUUUUGAGUAAAUUUAGCAUUACAUCAACCUUUUGUUUUACUCAAUACACAAACUAACAACCAUUCUGUCUUUUUUCUUUUCAGUUUAUCAUUAACAACUUCACUGCAUAACCAUUACACGCUAAGCACAGACGGGGAGACUAAUUAAGAACAUAAAACUUUCUUUUCAUCAAUCUAAGGUUUGACAACUUUAGGAUUAGCGACCAAAUUCAUCAUUAUAAUAGUAGAAACUAGUUGACACUUGCAAAACCCAGAGAGACUUAAACGAAAAGGUAAGAGCCAAGGAUGAAUUGCCUGCCGGUGACUGUCAUUGACUAGUAUAAAAAAUUCAUCCAGUGGCACAGAUAUAGUCAAUAAAAAAAGAAGACAAAGAGUUGAGAAGAAUAAAAUGACAAAAUAGAGACUGGCCUUGAUUUUACUACCAAUAGAAGGAUGAUGUAUUAGUUGAAUAGCAACCUCUUCUCCCGACGAAUGAACAUUGCAUCUAGCAUAUUAGGAUCAAGUGUUAAUCCUGGAUUUAAACACUACAGUUGUGCAAUGAUGUUCAUUGUAACAUCUCGUUCAAUGACAUUUCCUUAAGCAUUAAUUUUUUCCUGCAUUUUUUGUUGCAUCCGCUCUUUCAGUUCUUCCAAUCUUUUCUCUACCAGUUCAUCAACAAUGUUUGAAGAGGGUCUAUAAUCACUUACUUUUUAUUUCAAAAGAGACUUGGUAACCCCGCAUUCGAAUAGUCUUACUCGACUAGGAUGAUCAGGCCCCAUAACAGCUGUGAAUUCAUCAUUUGAUUGACUUUCAUUUUUAAUUUCUUGAGUUUCUAGUCUCUCCAUUUCAACCUACAAGUCAGAAUCAAGAGCAAGUAAAUUUAGUUGGUUCAAUAUUUAAGAAAGAACAAAUGAACUUGAUCAAUUUUGAAGAAACUUUCAUGCAAUUUUGUUAGUAAUAUCUUCAGAUGAGUCCUUAUAUACCCGGUUAGGUUUUCUUCUUCUAGUAGCCACAAAGAAUUCCUUACUUGAUAAAGCACCGGAAUUUUUCUUUUUUUUUUUACCUAGUUACAUAUAAGUCAACAUUAAAAUGUUUCCAAGUAAAGUCAAAAAGUUCAUAAUAACAAUAUGACAAAACAUCAAACAUUGCGGAUUAUAGCAAAACUUGUUUUGCCAACAAGGCGCAGAUACUUAAAUUUUUUCCAAUUCUCUUUGUUAGUGAUGGAAGUAUCCUACGAGACAAUAUUUACAAAUAAGUUUUUAAUAAAAAGAUUGAGGUAGUGAAGGAUUAAACAAAUAGAAUUUAAUGACUUAUGUCGAAAGAAAGAACAACGUAAAAAGAAAGGUCAGGCGUGAUAAAUUCAAUAAUAAAUGCAUGCUAACAAUAAUAUAACAGUUGUCUAUAGUGAUAUCAUACCUCAGCUUCUUCAGAAUUCUAAUACUUAAGGAUAUCCUCAAAUACAGGUUUUAAAAUAGUGUCAUACCUAUUUGCCCUUCGAAGUUCAUCAUUGGCAUAGGCAUAAAAAUGUUGUUUCUUGAACCUGGACUUAUACCCUCUAAACGCAACAUCAAUUGAUCUCAUAGCCCAAUCUUUCCAAUUGUUGGGAAUGUUAUAAGUCUCCUAUAAUUUGGUUUAAUUGGUUUAGUGCAAAAACUGUGAAAAACUUUCUAGUAAAAAUAAAAAUAUUGAGAACUUAGAACCUGGAUAUAGCUCCACAUAUCAUCGUGUGUCUUUAUCUUUGUCCAAGUAAGAUUAAGAGGGCAAUAUGUCCCAUUCCUUGCCAAUGUGCCAAGAAAGUUUCCAAACUCAGUGAUCGCUGCUUUAGUUGGACCAAUAGACUAGUUCAACUCAUUUAGCACUAUCAGUUGACGGUUAGUCCAUCCAUGUACUUCUUGCAUUUGUGUAGCGCCUCUUUUUUUAUUAGUUGAAGGUCCUACAAUAAUAUCAACAGUAAAAUUAAUGAAAUACAAAUAAUUUUUAAAAUAGUUUGAACUAAAAUAUAUAUAUUCUUGCCUUUUCCAGAUUGUUCAUUUGCUUGUAAAUUAGAAAGUUGUAACUGAUCUUGCUGCACUCGUUCAACUGUGGGUAGUGAUGCAAGAAUGGUGGAGUCUCUCAAUUCUUGUGGCACUUGCUCCUCUACUGGUGUUGCAAGAGAGGUGGAAUCUGGAGACACCUGUUGCACUUGUUCUGAUACUUGAGAUAUAGCCGGCACCUGUUGCACUUGUUAUGGUACUUGAGGUAUAGGUGGAAUGUUUUUUGACUUCUCCUUCUACUUUUGAUUCUUUUUCUUUGCAUUUAUGUAGCCUGUGUUCUUUUUCGACUAGGAUGAUCAGGCCCCAUAACAGCUGUGAAUUCAUCAUUUGAUUGACUUUCAUUUUUAAUUUCUUGAGUUUCUAGUCUCUCCAUUUCAACCUACAAGUCAGAAUCAAG
rnacentral:lncRNA from 1 species